CUGCACAACAAAAGCCUCUUCUGGGAGUGUCUGGAGUCUCAUGGUGCCACUUAACACAAUGCAAACACAGAGAAGUGGGAGUGAUGACAGAAAAUGAGAUAUGGGAGUGGGUGAGAGUGGGAGCAGAGGCAGCGAGGGGAGGUUGACAGUGAAAAGAGGAAUGAGAAAUUAAUGCCCAGUAAAUGAACAGAAACAGAAAUGAGAGAGCAUAAAUAGGGUGUGACAAGUGGAACAGGAAGCAGAGAAGAGGAAAGCAAAAGUGGAAGAGCAAAGCAGAAAAGAGGAAGGGUGGAGGAAAGCAGGAAGAGGGAGACGUGAAGCAGCAGGAAAGGAAGAAAUGAGGCCUGGAAUAGAGUGGCAGAUAGAGGUGAAAGAGAAAUAAAAGUCAUUAGCACUGAUGGAAGAGAAAAUAACCGCAGCAGCUCUGGUAGUGGCUCCCCCCAUACAUACGCCAUUGACCUUUCUCUAGCUAUGACAUAAGAGUCUCCGGUCUCAUGGAUUAUCCAGGAUAACGGGCAAGUAUGAAGCAUUCUGCUGCAUACUACAGGCAUCCACCAACUCUCCUUUGGUUCAGAAAAAAGUAAUAACAAGCCCUUCAGGUGCUGGAGAUCCGACCAAGAAGCAGCAGUCUCAAGAAGUGAUGUGACAGUCUUCGUACAGAUGGUGGGCCAGGAAUACCUGCAAAUGUUUCAUUGCUUACAGGAAAUAUCCAGAACAUUUCUCAGAAGAUGGGACUUGUUCCCCUCAGAGAAUAAUCUUUGACAGUCAAA